rnacentral:rRNA from 1 species
UGGGGAAUAUUGGACAAUGGGCGCAAGCCUGAUCCAGCCAUGCCGCGUGAGUGAUGAAGGCCUUCGGGUCGUAAAGCUCUGUGGGGAGGGACGAACAGGUCUGGGGCUAAUACCUCCAGGCUCUGACGGUACUUCCUUAGCAAGCACCGGCUAACUCCGUGCCAGCAGCCGCGGUAAUACGGAGGGUGCAAACGUUGCUCGGAAUCAUUGGGCGUAAAGCGCACGUAGGCGGUUUUUUAAGUCGGAUGUGAAAGCCCUCGGCUCAACCGAGGAAGUGCAUUCGAAACUAGAAGGCUUGAGUACGGAAGAGGGUCUCGGAAUUCCCGGUGUAGAGGUGAAAUUCGUAGAUAUCGGGAGGAACACCAGUGGCGAAGGCGGAGACCUGGGCCGAUACUGACGCUGAGGUGCGAAAGCGUGGGGAGCAAACAGGAUUAGAUACCCCCGUAGUCC